AACGAACGCUGACGGCGUGCCUAACACAUGCAAGUCGAGCGCGAAAGUCCUUCGGGAUGAGUAGAGCGGCGCACGGGUGAGUAACACGUGGGUAAUCUGCCUUUAGGCCUGGGAUAACUCGGGGAAACUCGAGCUAAUACCGGAUAAGACCACGCGACGAGAGUUGCCCGGGAAAAGCGGGGGAUCUCUUCGGAGACCUCGCACCAAAAGAUGAGCCCGCGUCCCAUCAGCUAGUUGGUAGGGUAAUGGCCUACCAAGGCGAAGACGGGUAGCUGGUCUGAGAGGAUGAUCAGCCACACUGGAACUGAGACACGGUCCAGACUCCUACGGGAGGCAGCAGUGGGGAAUAUUGCGCAAUGGGCGAAAGCCUGACGCAGCAACGCCGUGUGAGUGAUGAAGGCCUUCGGGUUGUAAAGCUCUUUUGUCAGGGAAGAAACACCGGCUCUAACACAGUCCGGGAAUGACGGUACCUGAAGAAUAAGCACCGGCUAACUACGUGCCAGCCGCCGCCGUAACAC
rnacentral:rRNA from 1 species